UACAGAGGGUGCAAGCGUUAAUCGGAAUUACUGGGCGUAAAGCGUGCGUAGCCGGUUAUUUAAGUCAGGUGUGAAAGCCCAGGGCUCAACCUUGGAAUUGCAUUUGAGACUGAAUAGCUAGGGUGCGGAAGAGGGAAGCGGAAUUUCCGGUGUAGAGGUGAAAUUCGUAGAUAUUCGGAAGAACACCAGUGGCGAAGGCGGCUCACUGGACGAUUGUUGACGCUGAGGUGCGAAAGCGUGGGGAGCAAACAGG
rnacentral:rRNA from 1 species